AGCGAACGCUGGCGGCAGGCUUAACACAUGCAAGUCGAGCGGGCAUCCUUGUGGUGUCAGCGGCAGACGGGUGAGUAACGCGUGGGAACGUGCCCUUCGGUUCGGAAUAACUCAGGGAAACUUGAGCUAAUACCGGAUACGUGCGAGAGCAGAAAGGUUUAUCUGCCGAAGGAUCGGCCCGCGUCUGAUUAGCUAGUUGGUGAGGUUACGGCUCACCAAGGCGACGAUCAGUAGCUGGUCUGAGAGGAUGAUCAGCCACACUGGGACUGAGACACGGCCCAGACUCCUACGGGAGGCAGCAGCGGGGAAUAUUGGACAAUGGGGGCAACCCUGAUCCAGCCAUGCCGCGUGAGUGAUGACGGCCUUAGGGUUGUAAAGCUCUUUUCUCCGGGACGAUAAUGACGGUACCGGAGGAAUAAGCCCCGGCUAACUUCGUG
rnacentral:rRNA from 1 species